rnacentral:misc_RNA from 1 species
GAUGAAGAACGCAGCGAAAUGCGAUACUUGGUGUGAAUUGCAGAAUCCCGUGAACCAUCGAGUCUUUGAACGCAAGUUGCGCCCGAAGCCUCGGCUAAGGGCACGUCUGCCUGGGCGUCACGCAUCGCGUCUCCCCCAAACCGCCAAGGCGGAGGGGAAGGAAGAUGGCUUCCCGUGCCUCACCCGGCGCGGUUGGCCUAAAUUUGGAGCCCGCGGCACUUAGCUCUCGCGGCGAUAGGUGGUGAACAAGGCCUUGGCCGUGCAAACAACCCGCUGCGAAGCUCUAUGUCACGUGCGCUCGUCGGACCCUUUGAAGUUGCCUUCGGUGACUUAAAACCUUUGCGACCCCAGGUCAGGCGGGGCUACCCGCUGAAUUUAAGCAUAUCAAUAAGCGGAUGA